CACAGCACUGCAAGCUUGAAUGCUGGCACUCCCAGUUCCAUGUUUAUCUUUGGACACAGAAGGAAAAAUGUCACUGGAAGAAACUUUUCCAGUGAUUUAAAAGUUUAGAGGAUUAGUAAUUUUGGCCAUCUGGGAAAAAUGAAAAGGCUGGAACUUGUGAGCUCUGCCUUCCUGAGUUACACACUCCCCUCCAAUUCUUUUGGAGAAAGAAGAUGUCUGUACUAGACUCAGCAAUAUUGCAAGUUUAAGAGUAUUGUAAGUGCCUGGUGGAACAACUUGAGAAGCAAAGAUGUUGGCC